AAAACAACAGACGUUUUGAUCCUUCCGCGAUGAUUUCUGUGUUAACGGGGCUAACCAGGAUCAUAUCAGCAAGCUACAUCGAAUGGAGGUUGCUAACAUGUCAACAUUUAUCAAACUUUAGGAUCUCAAACCAAUGAAUUUCAGCAUUGCUAAGCUUUGUGCUGCAUUUUGAUGCACGAAAUGACAAGUUGGUCUUAAAAGAAAACGAGAACAUGUAUCAUCCUUUCGAUUCCAAGAAACUUACCUUGUUGAACCAGACUAUCCGAG
rnacentral:misc_RNA from 1 species